CAGUCGCCGCGGUAAUACGUAGGUGGCAAGCGUUGUCCGGAAUUAUUGGGCGUAAAGGGCUCGCAGGCGGUUUCUUAAGUCUGAUGUGAAAGCCCCCGGCUCAACCGGGGAGGGUCAUUGGAAACUGGGAAACUUGAGUGCAGAAGAGGAGAGUGGAAUUCCACGUGUAGCGGUGAAAUACGUAGAGAUGUGGAGGAACACCAGUGGCGAAGGCGACUCUCUGGUCUAUAACUGACGCUGAGGAGCGAAAGCGUGGGGAGCGAACAGGAUUAGAUACCCCCGUAGUCCCUGUCUCUUAUAC
rnacentral:rRNA from 1 species